rnacentral:rRNA from 1 species
CGUGUAGGCGGCGUCGUAAGUCUGAUGUGAAAGCCCUCGGCUCAACCGAGGAAGUGCAUCAGAUACUGCGGCGCUCGAGUCCCGGAGGGGGUGGUGGAAUUCCAAGCGUAGAGGUGAAAUUCGUAGAUGUUUGGAGGAACACCGGUGGCGAAGGCGACCACCUGGACGGGUACUGACGCUGAGACGCGAAAGCGUGGGGAGCAAACAGGAUUAGAUACCCUGGUAGUCC